rnacentral:rRNA from 1 species
UACAGAGGGUGCAAGCGUUGUUCGGAAUCAUUGGGCGUAAAGCGCACGUAGGCGGCCGACCAAGUCAGGUGUGAAAGCCUGGGGCUCAACCCCAGAAGUGCACUUGAAACUGGUUGGCUUGAAUGUCGGAGAGGGUAGUGGAAUUCCGAGUGUAGAGGUGAAAUUCGUAGAUAUUCGGAGGAACACCAGUGGCGAAGGCGACUACCUGGAUGAACAUUGACGCUGAGGUGCGAAAGCGUGGGGAGCAAACAGG